UACGGGGGGGGCAAGCGUUGUUCGGAAUUACUGGGCGUAAAGCGCGUGUAGGCGGCUGCGCAAGUCGGAUGUGAAAUCCCAUGGCUCAACCAUGGAAGUGCACCCGAAACUGCGUAGCUAGAGUCUCGGAGAGGAAGGCGGAAUGCUUGGUGUAGAGGUGAAAUUCGUAGAUAUCAAGCGGAACACCGGUGGCGAAGGCGGCCUUCUGGACGAUGACUGACGCUGAGACGCGAAAGCGUGGGGAGCAAACAGG
rnacentral:rRNA from 1 species